AUGACAUUCUCCCAAUACUUUAGAACAAAGCAGGAAUCUUUGACUGAAUUAUCCAGGCCCAACGUGUACAUGCUGGAGAAGAGUAAGUUAAAACAGGCCUCUCUGAAAUCCAAAUGGGACCCACAUCUGUGCAAUCUGAUAGAUCCCCCUCUGAGUCCAUUAUUCCAGUUCACAUGUGAAUCAAGACAUCAUGAGAGUGAUACCAUUGGUGCUCUUUGA
rnacentral:lncRNA from 1 species